UAUGUUGCCAGCGGGUCAUGCCGGGGACUCAUGGGAGACUGCCGGGGGUCAACUCGGGAGGAAGGUGGGGAUGACGUCAAAUCAUCAUGCCCCUUAUGUCUUGGGCUUCACGCAUGCUACAAUGGCCGGUACAAAGGGCUGCGAUACCGCGAGGUGGAGCGAAUCCCAGAAAGCCGGUCUCAGUUCGGAUUGGGGUCUGCAACUCGACCCCAUGAAGUCGGAGUCGCUAGUAAUCGCAGAUCAGCAACGCUGCGGUGAAUACGUUCCCGGGCCUU
rnacentral:rRNA from 1 species